rnacentral:lncRNA from 1 species
UGACAAUCUAAUUAUAUUGUGCUGUGAACGAAUAUUAUGUCCUGCAAGCAAAGAACAAAUGGAUUGAUGGCCUGUGAUAUUUCCAUCGAUAAUGCAUUGGCCGCACAGCGUCAUCAUCAGUUUAAGGAACAGACUUCACCUCGAGCCUAAUGGGACCCUGAACGUAAACAUUUUCUUGUGCCAAAACCCAGAGAAAGCGAAGCGCAAGGGACCUGCAAUUAGGAUGUUGACACCAGGGGAGGGGCAAGAACAGCAGUUGUGUUUGCCUUCAGAAGUUCAGAUACUUAGUGAAAAAUGCC